rnacentral:rRNA from 1 species
AUAACGACUCUCGGCAACGGAUAUCUCGGCUCUCGCAUCGAUGAAGAACGUAGCGAAAUGCGAUACUUGGUGUGAAUUGCAGAAUCCCGUGAACCAUCGAGUCUUUGAACGCAAGUUGCGCCCAAAGCCUUUAGGCCAAGGGCACGUCUGCCUGGGUGUCACAA